AGAGAAUGGAGAGGUGACAGAUGCCCUCACCGGCAGGAACGCAGACCCUACGAAGUUUACUGCAUCUAAGGCAUGCCAUCUUUUAAAAGCCAUGGAGGCACAAUACGGACAGUACCAGAGCAGACCAAACCUAAAGCCAGCCAAGCAUGGCAACACUUGGGUCGACCAGAGAAGGUCAUUUUAAGAAAAAGGGCUGCUGAUGUGCUCUUUGAUAGUUUUGCCUCUGGGGGAAGAGUCAACUGCAAUCAGUUUUUUGAGGUCCUGUGGAGCUCAGGAAUCAUCCGAACAGACCCCCGGAUUAAGGACUGCAACGGCCUGAUGCGGAAAUUACAGGAAGCAGAUGGAACUGUUGACAGGAACACUUUUCACAGGCCAGACUGAAUCUUGACACCAGUAGUCAAAUUUAAAGCAUCUUAAAUAUAAAUAUUAAACACCCCAAUCUUUAAUGCUGCUAAUAUGCUUCAUUUGUGAACAUCUUGCAGGUGCGUGACUGGCUUUGUGUCUUUCAUCCUGAAGGCAUUUGCAGGGAAGAUUUGUCAUUCCAGAUUUCUCUACUUUCACAGAGGAAACACAAAAGCUGUUUAUUAAAUGCAAACAACUCUCCUCUGUGAAGGAGAAAGAAGACGUGAGAGAGGGUGGCAAGAAAUGGGGCAUUUCAGUUUGUACCGAGGAUUGACAGAGGUGCCACACAACAGUUCAAUUCGAUUGAUUUGAUCUUCAGCAGGGGGUCUCUUCAUCCUUAGGGGGUCCGCAGUGGCACUGUGGGGCAUCUGCCAAUUAUUGUUUAAUCUCAAACAAAUUUUUGUGAAAACAAGACAAUAUAUAUAAAAUAAUAAUAAUAAUAAUAAAAUAGAAUAAUAAAAUAGAAUCUAAAGAA